CACGUAGGGCGCGAGCGUUGUCCGGAAUUAUUGGGCGUAAAGAGCUCGUAGGCGGCCUGUUGCGUCCGCUGUGAAAUCCCGGGGCUCAACCCGGGGCCUGCAGUGGAUACGGGCAGACUUGAGUUCGGCAGGGGAGACUGGAAUUCCUGGUGUAGCGGUGAAAUGCGCAGAUAUCAGGAGGAACACCGGUGGCGAAGGCGGGUCUCUGGGCAACAACUGACGCUGAGGAGCGAAAGCGUGGGGAGCGAACAGG
rnacentral:rRNA from 1 species